rnacentral:rRNA from 1 species
UACGGGGGGAGCAAGCGUUGUUCGGAUUUACUGGGCGUAAAGGGCGCGUAGGCGGCCUCCGCAAUUCAGUUGUGAAAUCUCCGAGCUUAACUCGGAAAGGUCAACUGAUACUGCGGGGCUAGAGUGCGGAAGGGGCAACUGGAAUUCUUGGUGUAGCGGUGAAAUGCGUAGAUAUCAAGAGGAACACCUGAGGUGAAGACGGGUUGCUGGGCUGACACUGACGCUGAGGCGCGAAAGCCAGGGGAGCAAACGGG